rnacentral:tRNA from 6 species
GUCCCCGUCGUCUAGCCCGGCCUAGGACAUCGCCCUUUCACGGCGGUAACACGGGUUCAAAUCCCGUCGGGGACGCCA